rnacentral:lncRNA from 1 species
UCGGUAGCAGUGGAUUCUCCGGCCAUGUUUCCUCGAUGUAUUCAAGGAUAACAAGAGACUCCGCAAUCGGCUUGCCACCAUGGACGAGUACAGGGAUUUUCUUGUAAACUGGGUUAUACUUCAAUAGCAGUUCACUUUUAUUGGUGAGGUCUUCUUCAAUAUACUCAAACUCCACGCCCUUUAGUUUCAGAGCCCAUAUAACUCUGUAACUAAAAGGGCUAGCCCAGAAACCAUGCAGCUUCACAUCUGCCAUUGUUGCAAUAAGAUCAGUAUGCAAGGUCUACUGCUGUGGCAAGUCUUCUUAUUGCCACUCUUGGCUUGGGCAAUAAGUUUUGGAUGCAAGAAACAUUUUUUUAUAUUACAAGUAUUGACUUGACUUGGUCCAUAACUUUGAUUCCGAUUUUUUUUUAAUUUAACUUGGACAUCGUAAUUUGCAAGUAAUCCGUACGAUGAAUUUUUAUUUAUUUUUUUGGGUCACGGUGUGCAGUUUAUUACUUUAUUUUCCUUGCAAGAAACACUGACUACUCUGUAGAAAGUUACAUUCUUUGAACGUAUUCAUGCCUAGCCUUCGGAUUAGGUGGUGGAACCUGACAUGCCUACCAAUAUCACGAUGUUAUUGAAUUAAGACAAGCAGAAAUAAACUAUCCGAUUUGACAACCUUUUUCUUUUGUUAACCUCUGCCAAAUAAUCGAUUAUCUGAAUUGAUCACUAAUUAACUACAAACUAAAUUUUUUAAUAUUAAUGGUUGUAAUUUAACUUGUAAAAUUUUGAAUUUGUUUUUUUUAAGUUUAUUAAGUGUUAUAAAUUUUAAGUUCAUUAAAAAUUUACUUUAUUAAUUUUAGAGUCUUUUAAAAUUAGUUGAAGCACUCGUAAGCUGACUCAAAUACUCACGAUUAACAAAAUAUAUAUAUAUAUAUAUAUAUGCUGAAAUUAUUUUGCACUUCUUUUUAAUUUAUUGGAAUUGAAGUAGUAUAUUUUUAAUAAUUUUUAUUUUGAUAUUUAAAUUUUUAUUUUGUGCAAUUUACUUUUUGCAAGUACAAAUUAACUUUUAAUUACAUAUUUUUAAAGGAAAAAAAAAAGUUGAAUUUAAAUAUAGCAAACUAAAGCAAAAAUCUCGGUGAUAUGGCGGCAGCAGUUAAAAAUUUAUUAAAAUAUUUAUCUUAAUUCUCUCAUGUUUUUUAGAUAUUGAUGACCAAUGUUUUAAAUUUAAAGACAAUACAUUUUGGUAUCUACUUUAUUUUCUCUUUUCUAUUGUUUUCUAUGGGAGGAGAGAGAAAGAGCUGUCGAAUUCCAACUUAGAUAUAGAAAGUUGUCGUUGUGGAAGAUUCUAACAGCCAAAACGAUUGAUUUUUAGGUCAAAAUAUUUCAUAUAAUGAGAGGGUUAUGUUUGGGUGUUUGUUUACCUUGAAAACACCUCAAGCAACAAAUUUAAGCUCAUGAAGAAUUUUAUUUUCUUGUGUGUUUUAGGUUUUGUGGUGGUUUAUUAGAUUUCUGGAGAUCAUGAAUUGGUUUAAUAAGAUUUCUAGAGUAUUUUCAAUAUGUUUUGAGUCAAAAUAAGUUAAAAAAGAGAUUUUGGAUGAAAAAACAAAGGAUCUCAUUUUUCUAGCUACCAUAGUGGUCGGAUUAUAUGUUUCACAGGUGAAACGUCUUUGUAUAUAUAUAUAAUUGAAACGGACAACACUUUAUUCACCUAGAGUCUUUUAAAAUUAGUUGAAGCACUCGUAAGCUGACUCAAAUACUCACGAUUAACAAAAUAUAUAUAUAUAUAUAUAUGCUGAAAUUAUUUUGCACUUCUUUUUAAUUUAUUGGAAUUGAAGUAGUAUAUUUUUAAUAAUUUUUAUUUUGAUAUUUAAAUUUUUAUUUUGUGCAAUUUACUUUUUGCAAGUACAAAUUAACUUUUAAUUACAUAUUUUUUAAAGGAAAAAAAAAGUUGAAUUUAAAUAUAGCAAACUAAAGCAAAAAUCUCGGGUGAUAUGGCGGCAGGUUAAAAAUUUCAUUAAAACAUUUAUCUUAAUUCUCUCAUGUUUUUUAGAUAUUAGAUGACCAAUGUUUUAAAUUUAAAGACAAUACAUUUUGGUAUCUAACUUUAUUUUUCUCUUUUCUAAUUGUUUUCUAUUGGGAGGAGAGAGAAAGAGCUGUCGAAUUCCAACUUAAAUAUAGAAAGUUGUCGUUGUGGAAGAUUCUAACAGCCAAAACGAUUGAUUUUUAGGUCAAAAUAUUUCAUAUAAUGAGAGGGUUAUGUUUGGGUGUUUGUUUACCUUGAAAACACCUCAAGCAACAAAUUUAAGCUCAUGAAGAAUUUUAUUUUCUUGUGUGUUUUAGGUUUUGUGGUGGUUUAUUAGAUUUCUGGAGAUCAUGAAUUGGUUUAAUAAGAUUUCUAGAGUAUUUUCAAUAUGUUUUGAGUCAAAAUAAGUUAAAAAAGAGAUUUUGGAUGAAAAAACAAAGGAUCUCAUUUUUCUAGCUACCAUAGUGGUCGGAUUAUAUGUUUCACAGGUGAAACGUCUUUGUAUAUAUAUAUAAUUGAAACGGACAACACUUUAUUCACCUAGAGUCUUUUAAAAUUAGUUGAAGCACUCGUAAGCUGACUCAAAUACUCACGAUUAACAAAAUAUAUAUAUAUAAUAUCUGAAAUUAUUUUGCACUUCUUUUAAUUUAUUGGAAUUGAAAGUAGUAUAUUUUUAAUAAUUUUUAUUUUGAUAUUUAAAUUUUUAUUUGUGCAAUUUACUUUAAGUACAAAUUAACUUAUACAUAUUUUUUAAAGGAAAAAAAAGUUGUUUAAUAUAGCAAACUAAAGCAAAAAUCUCGGUGAUAUAUCGGCAUUAAAAAUUUAAUUUAUCUUAAUUCUCUCAUGUUUUUUAGAUAUUAGAUGACCAAUGUUUUAAAUUUAAAGACAAUACAUUUUGGUAAUCAUAACUUUAUUUUCUCUAUAUUAUUGUUCAAGGAGAGAGAAAGAGCUGUCGAAUUCCAACUUAGAUAUAGAAAGUUGUCGUACAGCCAAACGAUUGAUUUUUAGUCAAUAAUAUAAUGAGGGGUUAUGUGGUGUUUGUUUACCUUGAAAACACUCAAGCAACAAAUUUAAGCUCAUGAAGAAUUUUAUUUUCUUGUGUGUUUUAGGUUUUGUGGUGGUUUAUUAGAUUUCUGGAGAUCAUGAAUUGGUUUAAUAAGAUUUCUAGAGUAUUUUCAAUAUGUUUUGAGUCAAAAUAAGUUAAAAAAGAGAUUUUGGAUGAAAAAACAAAGGAUCUCAUUUUUCUAGCUACCAUAGUGAUCGGAUUAUAUGUUUCACAAGUGAAACGUCUUUGUAUAUAUAUAUAAUUGAAACGGACAACACUUUAUUCACCUAGUUAAACUAUUUUGAAAAAUAAAGGCCUGAGUGCGGGUCGUUGCUUUAUUAGGCCAUGCACUAGGCCUGACCUUGUUCUUUUUAAAAAAAAAAUAAUUUUUAAAAAAAUAAUAAAUUAUUCGUGUAUAUUUUUUCAAAUAAAUUUUGGGUUUAUAUUUAAAAAGAUUGUGACUGUUUUAAAAUGAUAUUUGGUGUGUUUAAUUUUUAGAGAGAUAAGUAUGAUUCAUUCGUGAUUUUUUUCUUAAUUUUAUAUAAAUUAAGUUUGUUUUUUUUUAAUAUGAUUUUUUUGUAGGAUUUUUUAUACGUGUAGCCUUGCAUUGUUUUUUUAAUUAUUGUUUUUGUUUUACAAAUUUAUUUUGAUAAAGGAAUUCAUUAGAUAUAAUCACGUAAAUUACUCUUAUUGCAAUGUUAGAUAUCUUGAUUUUUAUUUUUAGCUUGGUUUUUUCAAUUUUAUUUUUGUCCAUUGUUGAUUAUUUUUUUUUCAUUGCUUUACAUAAUAGUUACUGGAUUAUUUAAUUAGAUGCAUGCUUAGGUUAUUUGAUUUACACUUAGGAGUUUUUUUAGUAUAAAAAAAAACGUUGAAGAACUCUGUAUAAAUUUUAUUUAUGUUUUGAUGUUUAUUCUUAUGAUUUUUAAUUUUUUUUCUUUGAAUUUUUUAUAGAAGUUUCAUUGUUUUUAGUUUCAUUACUCAAUCCAAGUUUAUAAUUUAUUAUUUUUUUUAUCUUUUUACUUUUGAUUUUUGUUCUUUUAUUAAUGUUUUUAUUCUCUUCAAUUUAGCUCUCAAAACUAAAAUCCGUUGUUUCCUUUUGAUUUAUUUUAUUGUAAUUUUAACACUUAUUGUUUUUAUUUUGGAUUUUUUGUGUUUUUUUUUUGUGAUAUAGUUUUUUUGGUUUUAUAACCCAGGUCAUGGUUUAAAAAGUUAGCAGUAAUUAACUUUUUUUUAUCUUAUUUGUUUAUAUUCAUAUUUUUUUAUAUUUUUUUCUAUAAAAUUAUCAUAUUAUCAUUUAAUUUUUAUCUUGUUAACAAAUAAAAUCAUUGAGAUGUUUUUGGAAUAUUGUGAAGAUAUAUUUUUAUAAUAUUGGUAAGUGUUUAUUUUUUGCAUUGAAUUGUUAUUUUUUUUGUUUUAUUUAUUGUGAAUAUCUUAUUUUUUAAUAAUAUUAUUUAAUUAACAAAGUUUAUUACACUCAUUCAAGCCAAUUUUUUAAAUAUUAUAUUUAUUUUUGUUUUGUUUUAUUUUAUUUUAUUUCAUAUUUUUUACACCAAAACAAAAUUGAUGGCGGUUUUAGUUUUGGUGCCCAGAUAACCCGCUGGUUGAAUGGACUUGGACUCAACCUGAAUAACUUCAUAUCUACCAUACUGAUAACUGAACUAUGACUUGUGUUCAACAAAUGAGGGCUUUAAAUUAUUCAUUGCAGAUUUUUUUUUCUUUUUUUUAUUGCAGUCUUUUCUUCCUGGUUGUCCAAAUAAAUGGAAAAUUAAAAAUUAUUGACUCCACAACACAAAAGGUCUUGCUUAGAUAACCCUGGUUAGAAGAAAAAUACAUCCAGCGUUCUCUUGGUCCAUUCCUGGAUAACACAAAGAUCAUGGCCUUCAUUAAUGAGUUUAAGAGUGUGUUUAUUUUUUUAAAAGUGAUUUUCAAGAAAUUAUUUUCAAAAAAAAUUUGUAUUUAUUUAUUAUUGAAAAAAUUAAUUAAUGAAAAACAUUUUUCAAUUAUAUAAAAAUUUAACUCGAUUUUCAGAAAAGUACUUUCAUUUUAUUUUGAAAGAAAAACACUUUUUUAAAUUGUAAAAUAUUUAAAAAUAUCAUAAUAUUUACUAAUUAUAUCAAAUAUGAUCGUAUCUUCAUUUAAUUACUAACCUAUAAUUAGUAUAUUUUGUAAAUUGAAAUUUUAGCUUUAGUACCUUUCUCAAAGACAAGUCUACUUCGUCUUUCAUGAUCUAGCCAUUAUGAGAUUGGCUUUCUCAAAAAACUGGUGCUGUACGGAACCAAAAGAUCACGAAGUAACGAUACUCAUGACACAAACAAUGGCAUGAAUGCAACUUCUUGACCCAUUUUCCAAUGUGGGUAUUCAUGUUUCUUGAUUUUGUGAAAUCAUAAAUGUCGCAACCCGGAAAAAGAUUUUUAUAUAAUUAUAAAGUUUAAGAGUAAUGAUCUAAAAUUAUGAAUACUAUAAAAUUUAUUAAUCUACGAGAGACUUGUUAUGUAAAACAAAGAUGCAUCACCCCCUCCCCUGGAAAACAGAUUUAUUGAACCUUGAGUGAAUUUGGAAAUAGCUCUAAUCUCAGGAUUACUGUCAGUUAAUGUUGAUGUAAACUAGAUGAACCCUCAUUAUGGUACUUCGGCUAAAUGUUUAUACGAAAUCCACAUACAAAUUCAUUAGCACUGUUAUAUCCAGCCGAUUUGUUUUCCGAGUGAUAUGGGCUCUGAAAAUGAAGGGCAUUCCAUACGAGUACAUAGAAGAAGAUGUUACCAACAAAGGUCCUCUGCUUCUGAAGAAGAACCCUGUUCUUAAGAAGAUCCCAGUGCUUCUCCAUGGCGAAAAACCAGUUUGCGAGUCCAUGAUUAUUGUCGAAUACAUCGAUGAGAUAUGGCCCCAAAAUCCCUUGUUGCCCAAUGACCCUUACGAGAGAGCUCCGGCUCGUUUCUGGGUCAAAUUUACCGACGAUAAGGUAAAGAGUACAUGCAUCAUUUUACAUAUAAUAUUACUAUGAAACCGAGUUCUGGGCUUUAAAAAGAAAUUGGUUUCUGCUGAUUUGGUUAGUUCAUGAUCGAUGAUGAAUCAUUAGGUUGACUUGCCGAGCAGUUCUGAUAAAAUUGAUUAAGGGAAAAAAAGUAAAUGGAAAGGAAUAUAAAAGAAAUACAACAGUGUUUACACACCAAAUUAACCGAAAUUAAUGCAAUAGCUGCAUCAACCAUUAUGGAGUAUUACAGUAGAAAAACAAACUCAACUGCAAGAGAAAAACCAUCCAUGGAAACGAAAAGGUGAGGCAUACAUGGAUUAUUUCGCAUCCAAAAGCAUAAUAUAGGCUACUUGUUCGUCUUUUUCUCCCUGACACUUUUCAUAUGGAGGAGCAUCUUAUCAUAGUCGGGAAUGUUUUCUUUAAUCAGAGGAACUUCAAUGAAAUUCUGGGCCCAAGCAUGCAAUCGAGGCAGUGUGCUUGGUUCAAGAACUUUCACACCCGCUGCUUCUUCAAUGGCUGCAAACCAAUAAGCGAAGAGUCCAUAUGAGAUGUCAACUAGAUUUAUGCUGUCACCGCCAAAAAACUUCUUGUCCCCGAGACCUUGCUCUUCUAAGACUCUCAACACUUCCGCCAUUUCUUUCACUGCCUUCUCUAGCUCCUCUCCACUAGCUCGGAAAAAGGCACCAAAGGCAGCACCCUAAAUUAUGAAAGAAUUGAAUUUACAAGUCACAGAACAGAGAUAAAUGAAUAGAUAUUUGAAGGUGUUUAGCCUGAGGAGAGUAAAAAUAAAGGAAGGCAAGUUAUGAGAAAUUUUUAAUUAUUAUUCCACUUUAAGAACAAGGAGAAGAAAAUGUUUUAUGGAAUCGAUUGUUUUUUUCCAGGACUGCUACCAGAUCAAAUUAAACAUUGUGGGCCUCAUGAACAGUUACAAAAUAUAUACAAGAAGAUGGAUCUCGUUACCUUGGUACCUCCAUAUUGAAUCCAAAACCGAGCCAUGGCUCUCUCGUAAGGAUCAGUCGGUAGCAGUGGAUUCUCCGGCCAUGUUUCCUCGAUGUAUUCAAGGAUAACAAGAGACUCCGCAAUCGGCUUGCCACCAUGGACGAGUACAGGGAUUUUCUUGUAAACUGGGUUAUACUUCAAUAGCAGUUCACUUUUAUUGGUGAGGUCUUCUUCAAUAUACUCAAACUCCACGCCCUUUAGUUUCAGAGCCCAUAUAAUUCUGUAACUAAAAGGGCUAGCCCAGAAACCAUGCAGCUUCACAUCUGCCAUCGUUCCAAUGAGAUCAGAAUGCAAGGUCUCCUGCUGUGCCGAGUCCUCUUAUAGCGUCUUUUGGCUUGGGCAACAAGUAUUGGAUGCAAGAAACAUUUUUUUAUAUUGCAAGUAUUGACUUGACUUGGUCCAUAACUUUGAUUCCGAUUUUUUUUUAAUUUAACUUGGACAUCGUAAUUUGCAAGUAAUCCGUACGAUGAUUUUUUUUUUUUUUUGGGUCACGGUAUGCAGUUUAUUACUUUAUUUUCCUUUCAAGAAACUCUGACUACUCUGUAGAAAGUCACAUUCUUUGAACGUAUUCAUGCCUAGCCUUCGGAUUAGGUGGUGGAACCUGACAUGCCUACCAAUAUCACGAUGUUAUUGAAUUAAGAAAAGCAGAAAUAAACUAUCCGAGUUGCAACCUUUUUCUUUUGUUAACCUCUGCCAAAUAAUCCAUCGACUAUCUGAUUGAUCACUAAUUAACUACAAACUAAAUUUUUUAAUAUUGAUGAUUUGUAGUUUAACUUGUAAAAUUUUGAAUUUGUUUUUUUAAAGUUUAUUUAAUGUUAUAAAUUUUGAAAUUACUAAAAAUUUAUCUUAUUAAUUUUAUAGUAUCAUGACAUUAGUUAAAACGCUUCUAAACAAACUUAAAUACUCACGGUUAUAUAUAUAUAUAUAUAUAUAUAUAUAUAUAUAUAUAUUAUCUUUCUAAUAUGCUGAAAUUAUUUGCACUUCUUUAUAAUUUAUUGGAAUUGAAGUAGUGUAUUUUUAAUAAUUUUUAGUUUGAUAUUUAAAUUUUUAUUUUGUGCAAUUUACUUUUCUCAAGUACAAAUUAACUUUUAAUUACAUAUUUUUUAAAGGAAAAAAAAAGUUGAAUUUAAAUAUAGCAAACUAAAGCAAAAAUAUAGAGUGAUAUGGCUACAGAUUAAAAAUUUUAUUAAAACAUUUAUUUUAAUUCUCUCAUGUUUUUUAGAUAUUAGAUGACCAAUGUUUUAAAUUUAAAGACAAUAUAUUUUGAUAUCUAACUUUAUUUUUCUCUUUUGUGUAGUUGUUUUCUACUGGGAGGAAAGAGAAAGAGCUGUCGAAUUCUAACUUAGAUAUAGAAAGUUGUCACUAUGGAAGAUUCUAAUAGCCAAAAUGAUUGAUUUUUAGGUCAAAAUAUUUCAUAUAAUGAGAGGGUUAUGUUUAGGUGUUUGUUUACCUUAAAAACACCUCAAGCAACAAAUUUAAGUUCAUGAAGAAUUUUAUUUUCUUGUGUUUUUAGGUUUUGUGGUGAUUUAUUAGGUUUCUGGAGAUCAUGAAUUAGUUUAAUUUAAUUUUUCUAGAGUAUUUUCAAUAUGUUUUGAGUCAAAAGAAGUUGAAAAGAAGAUUUUGGAUGAAAAAACAAAGGACCUUAUUUUUAUAGCCACCAUAGUGAUCCGAUUAUAUGUUUCACAGGUGAAACGUCUUUAUAUAUAUAUAAUUGAAACGGACAACAUGUUGUUCACCUAGUUAAACUCUUUUAAAAAAUAAAGGCCUGUGUGCGGGCCGUUGCUUUAUUAGGCCAUGUACUAGGCCUAACCUUGUUCUUUUUAAAAAGAAAAUUUAGUUUUUUAAAAAAUAAUAAAUUAUUUGCGUGUAUUUUUUCAAAUAAAUUUUGGGUUUAUAUUUUAAAAAGAUUGUGACCAUUUUAAAAUGAUAUUGGGUGUGUUAAAUUUUUUUUUAGAGAGAUGAGUAUGAUUCAUCCGUGAUUUUUUUUUCUAAAUUUUAUAUAAAUUAAGUUUGUUUUUUUUAAUAUGAUUUUUUAUAAGAUUUUUUUAUAUGUAUAGCCUUGCAUUGUUUUUUUUAAUUAUUAUUAAGUAAAUUUUAUGUGUGUGUCGAUUUCUAUUAUAAAAUUUAUGUGUUUUUGUUUUACAAAUUUAUUUUGAUAAAGGAAUUCAUUAGAUAUAAUCAAGUAAAUUACUCUUAUUGCAAUGUUAGAUAUCUUGAUUUUUAUUUUUAGCUUGGUUUUUUCAAUUUUAUUUUUGUCCAUUGUUGAUGAUUUUUUUUUCAUUGCUUUACAUAAUAGUUACUAGAUUAUUUAAUUAGAUACAUGCUUAGGUUAUUUGAUUUACACCUAGGAGUUUUUUUAGUAUAAAAAAACACAUUGAAGAACUCUGUAUACAUUUUAUUUAUGUUUUGAUGUUCAAGAUUUGAUGUUUAUUCUUAUGAUUUUUAAAUUUUUUUUCUUUGAAUUUUUUAUGGAAGUUUCAUUGUUUUUAGUUUUAUUAUUCAAUCAAAGUUUAUAAUGUAUUGUUUUUUUAUGUUUUUUUUUUAUCUUUUUACUUUUGAUUUUUGUUCUUUUAUUAAUGUUUCCAUUCUCUUCAAUUUAGCUCUCAAAACUAAAAUCUGUUGUUGCCUUUUGAUUUAUUUUAUUGUAAUUUUAACACUUAUUGUUUUUAUUUUGGAUUUUUUGUGUUUUUUUUUUUGUGAUAUAGUUUUUUUUGGUUUUAUAACCCGAGUCAUGGUUUAAAAAGUUAGCAGUAAUUAACUUUUUUUUAUCUUAUUUGUUUAUAUUCAUAUUUUUUAUAUUUUUUUCUAUAAAAUUAUCAUAUUCUCAUUUAAUUUUUAUUUUGUUAACAAAUAAAAUCAUUGAGAUGUUUUUGGAAUAUUGUGAAGAUAUAUUUUUAUAAUAUUGGUAAGUGUUUAAUUUUUGCAUUGAAUUGUUAUUUUUUUUGUUUUAUUUAUUGUCAAUAUCUUAUUUUUUAAUAAUAUUAUUAAAUUAAAAAAAUUUAUUAAACUCAUUCAAGCCAAUUUUUUAAAUAUUAUAUUUAUUUUUGUUUUGUUUUGUUUUGUUUUAUUUUAUUUUUUCAUAUUUUUGACACCAAAACAAAAUUGAUGGCGGUUUUAGUUUUGGUGCCCAGAUAACCCGCUGGCUGAAUGGGCUUGAACUCAACCCUAAUAACUUUAUAUCUACCAUAUUGAUAACUGAACUGUGACUUGUGUUCAACGAAUGAGGGCUUUAAAUUAUUCAUUACAGACUUUUUUUUUCUUUUUCUCUUUUUAUUGCAGACUUUUCUUCCUGGCUGUCCAAAUAAAUGGAAAAUUAAAAUUUAUCAACUCCACAACACAAAAGGUCUUGCUUAGAUAACCCUGGUUAGGAGAAAAAUACAUUUCAGCGUUCUCUUGGUCCAUUCCUGGAUAACACAAAGAUGAUGGCCUUCAUCAACGAGUCUAAGGGUGUGUUUAUUUUUUUAAAAGUUAUUUUUAAGAAAUUUUUUUUAAUUUUUUUGUAUUUAUUUGUUAUUAAAAAAGUUGGUGAAUGAAAAACACUUUCCGAUCAUAUAAAAAUUUAGCUAGAUUUUCAGAAAAGUAUUUUCAUUUUAUUUUGGAAGAAAAACACUUUUUAUAAGUUGUAAAAUAUUUAAAAAUAUCAUAUUAUUUACUGAUUAUAUCAAAUGUGAUCCAAUCUUCACUUAAUUACUAACCUAUAAUUAGUAUAUUUUGUAAAUUGAAAUUUUAGCUUUAGUACCUUUCUCAAAGACAAGACUACUUUUUUUAUUUAUUUACGUGGGUGUCCGGGCCAACUUGUGCGCACCACGACUAAUCUCACGGCCCACUGAACAUCCUACAAGCCCAGUGAGCAUAUAAAACACCACGGAGGUGACAUGCGUGCACAAUGAGACUUGAACCCUGGUGCAGAGGAAGGGAACAAGUCCCUUCUACUACUAGGCCAAGACCUCAAGUGCAUACAAGACUACUUCUUCAUGAUCUGGCCAUUAUGAGAUUGGCUUUCUCAAAAAACUGGUGUUGUACGGAACUAAAAGAUCACGAAUUAACGAUAUUCAUGAUACAAACAAUGGCAUGAAUGCAACUUCUUGAUCCAUUAUCCAAUGUGGGUAUUCAUGUUUCUUGAUUUUGUGAAAUCAUAAAUGUCGCAACCCGGAAAAAGAUUUUUAUAUAAUUAUAAAGUUUAAGAGUAAUGAUCUAAAAUUAUGAAUACUAUAAAAUUUAUUAAUCUACGAGAGACUUGUUAUGUAAAACAAAGAUGCAUCACCCCCUCCCCUGGAAAACAGAUUUAUUGAACCUUGAGUGAAUUUGGAAAUAGCUCUAAUCUCAGGAUUACUGUCAGUUAAUGUUGAUGUAAACUAGAUGAACCCUCAUUAUGGUACUUGGGCUAAAAGUUUAUACGAAAUCCACAUACAAAAUCAUUAGCACUGUUAUUCUAUUCUGGGUGUCCCAUUCAAAGCAGACCCCUCCCUGUCCAACCAAAACGCCCUCCUGGUUCUUCUGUUUACCUUUCUUGGCUGUCAAGAGGCGUGGCAAAGAAGAUUAGCAUUGAUACCGUCAUGCAUGGCGUAUAUCUAAACGGCAACUUCCAGGAGAUGAUAUGUAUGGUCAACAUUAUUAACAUUAAUAAUGCUUAUUUAACCCAGAAAAUCAUGAAGUAAAUCGCAAACCGUGAGAAAUUGCUGAGAAACUUCUACAGAAAAAGAAAGAACAUGCAUCGCAUUAAUUAUUGCAUUUCUUAUCUCCAUAGUCAAGUCUUCUUUCGACAGAGAAUUGAAGUGAAUAUGAUUAUGUAAGCAAAUAUAUCAAUAAUGGAGGAAGUAAACCUUCUUUUCGAGGUAUAUCCCUUUCAUUAACUAAAUUAUUUUGAAUUUGCUGACCCAUCACACAGAAGCAAAGGCAAAAGAAUAUUGAUGGUCGGAAGUCUGUUUACAUUGUAUUAAAAUAAUUUUUUUUUCUUUUAAAAAAAUAUAUUUAACUUUGGAUCAUCAAAAUAAUAUAAAAAUAUAAAAAAAUAAUUUUUUUAAAAGUACGUCUGAAAUGCAUUCGCGGCCGCCCUCGAUAGCAAAUGUGUACUGCCCACAGCCCAAGCAAGACUCUUUCAUUAAAAAUCAGCACUAUAAAUGACAAUGGCAGGUAAAGAACAGUCACCGUACAAAUCCCUUGGUCAUGGCGGAGGUAGUGAAGCUGCUCGGAGCAUUGUCCAGCCCAUUUGUUUUCCGAGUGAUAUGGGCUCUAAAAAUGAAGGGCAUUCCAUAUGAGUUCAUAGAAGAAGAUGUUACCAGCAAAAGUCCUCUGCUUCUGAAGAAGAACCCUGUUCUUAAGAAGAUCCCAGUGCUUCUCCAUGGCGAAAAACCAGUUUGCGAGUCCAUGAUUAUUGUCGAAUACAUUGAUGAGAUAUGGCCCCAAAAUCCCUUGUUGCCCAAUGACCCUUACGAGAGAGCUCUGGCUCGUUUCUGGGUCAAAUUUACCGGCGAUAAGGUAAAGAGUACAGGCAUCAUUUUACAUUACAUCAAAUAUUACUAUGAAACCGAGUUCUGGGCUUUAAAAAAAAACUGGUUUCUGCUGAUUUGGUUAGUUCAUGAUCAAUGAUGAAUCAUUAGGUUGACUUGCCGAGCUGUUCUGAUAAAAUUGAUUAACGGAAAGAAAGUAAAUGGAAAGGAAUAUAAAAGAAAUACAACAGUGUUUACACACCAAACCGAAAUUAAUGCAAUAGCUGCAUCAACCAUUAUGGAGUGUAUUACAGUAGAAAAACAAGCUCAACUACAAGAGAAAAACCAUCCAUGGAAACGAAAAGGCGAGGCAUACAUGGAAUAUUUCGCAUCCAAAAGCAUAAUCUAGGCUACUUGUUCAUCAUUUUCUCCCUGACACUUUUCAUAUGGAGGAGCAUCUUAUCAUUGUCAGGAAUGUUUUCUUUAAUCAGAGGAACUUCAAGGAAAUUCUGGGCCCAAGCAUGCAAUCGAGGCAGUGUGCUUGGUUCAAGAACUUUCACACCCGCUAGUUCUUCAAUGGCUGCAAACCAAUAAGCGAAGAGUCCAUAUGAGAUGUCAACUAGAUUUAUGCUGUCACCGCCAAAAAACUUCUUGUCCCCGAGACCUUGCUCUUCUAAGACUCUCAACACUUCCACCACUUCUUUCACUGCCUUCUCUAGCUCCUCUCCACUAGCUCGGAAAAGGGCAACCAAGGCAGCACCCUAAAUUAUGAAAGAAUUCAAUUUACAUGUCACAGAACAGAGAUAAAUGAAUAGAUAUUUGAAGGUGUUUAGCCUGAGGAGAGUAAAAAUAAAAGAAGGCAAGUUGUGAUAAAUUUUUAAUUAUUAUUCCACUUUAAGAACAAGAAGAAGAAAAUGUUUUUUUGGAAUCAAUUGUUUUUUCCAGGACUGCUACCAGAUCAAAUUAAACAUUGUGGGCCUCAUGAACAGUUACAAAAUAUAUACAAGAAGAUGGAUCUUGUUACCUUGGUAGCUCCAUAUUGAAUCCAAAACCGAGCCAUGGCUCUCUCGUAAGGAUCAGUCGGUAGCAGUGGAUUCUCCGGCCAUGUUUCCUCAAUGUAUUCAAGGAUAACAAGAGACUCCGCAAUCGGCUUGCCACCAUGGACGAGUACAGGGAUUUGCUUGUAAACUGGGUUAUACUUCAAUAGCAGUUCACUUUUAUUGGUGAGGUCUUCUUCAAUAUACUCAAACUCCACGCCCUUUAGUUUCAGAGCCCAUAUAACUCUGUAACUAAAAGGGCUAGCCCAGAAACCAUGCAGCUUCACAUCUGCCAUCGUUCCAAUGAGAUCAGAGUGCAAGGUCUCCUGCUGUGACGAGUCCUCUUAUAGCGACUUUUGGCUUGGGCAACAAGUACUGGAUGCAAGAAACAUUUUUUUAUAUUGCAAGUAUUGACUUGACUUGGUCCAUAACUUUGAUUCUGAUUUUUUUUAGAUCUGUUUGUUUGCAGGAAUUUUUUUUGAAAAAUAAAUUUUGAAAAAAGUGAAUUCUAGAAAAGUAAAUUUCGAGAAAGUAUUUUUCGAUGUUUGGUAGUGUAAUGAAAAACGAACUGGAAAACACUUUUCAGUUUUUUGUUAUGUUAUGGAAAAUAAAUUGGAAAAUAAUUUAUUAAUGAAUUAAAUUUUUUUUUUAAAGUUAUCUAAUAUAUGAAAAAUAUUAAAUAUAAAUAUUUAAUCUAUUAAUUUUAUAAAAUAUAACUAUAUAUGUCAUAUAAUAUUAUAGAGAUAUAACCUUGUGAAAUUUUUCAUAAAUAAAACCUAUUAAUUAUUUUUUUUCAAUUUUAAAAGCUUAAAAUAUGUUUUUUUUUCAUAUGAAUAAAGCCAAAUUAGUUUAUAAUGGUUAUGGAAAUGAUAUCUGAUUCCCUAAACAAAUAAGGUCUUAAAAUAUAUUAUUUAAGAUCAUAAAAUUCAAUUUCUCGAUGAUAAAACCGUUUUGAAAAUUAUACAAUUCAUAAGUUCACAAUAAUCAAUAGACAUUGCACAAUGAAAUCCAUAUAAUUACCGGUAUAGACCCACAAAUUUAUUCAUAUGUAACAAAUAUAAUCAAACACUAAUCAUAUAUUAAUCAAAGCAAAUUAAAACACAUAUUUAUGUUUAUUCUUCUGUUAUAAUUCCUCUUAUUAAUGUAACAUGUAUUUAAACAUCCCCACUUCCCUUGUUUUGCAGGUUAAAACUCUCAUCAUCUCUUGCAUUUCCCUUACAAACACGCAACCUUCCCCAUGUUUUGCAGGUGCUCAUGAGACUAAAUUCAAUGGCUACCUUCAACGGCUUAAUCUACAAAGCCUAGUAAUCAGCCAUGAAAAGACCCAUAAUCCUUCAAAGCUUCCUUCCUUUGACUUCACAAGUAUAAAAUUAAACUUAUAAUUCCAUUCCCCUCUCCCAUUCCCCCCCUCUCUUGAUCGAUUCCCCUCUCCCAUUCCCCUGUUCCCUCUCCCCCUCCCUCUCGGUCGAUUCCCCGUGUUCCCUCUCCCUCUCAGUCGAUUCCCUUCUCGGUUUCUCUCAUUCCCCUUCCCUUAUUCCCUCUCCCAGGGGCAACAGGGCUCCUAUUUCCCAGUUCUCCUCCCUCCCUCCCCCGGCUACUGUUAAAAAAAAGACAGAGAGCAAGGGUUGAUUUUCAACACUUCCACUCGGGAUAUGGUGGCUGGAUCCGGGGAUGGGGUAACAGGGAGGGGAUUCUUUUUGCUAUGGAAGAUUGAUUAACACAGUUCGGGGAUUUUCAAGUGCCUCUCUUCGUGCACUUGAUUUGGUUUGUCUGGUUAGAAUAAAACUGCUGAAUGUGAGUGAUGAAGAAGAAAACUGUCAUGGAAAAAUUGUGUUUUUUGUGGCUUGCUUGAUGAAUUUUAGUUGUGUUAUGGAAAACAUAUGAUAGGUAGCAGAUGCUUCUACAAUAGUUCCUGCUUCCAAUCGUUUUUGAAGAGAGAGAGACCGUGAUUUACGAAAAUGAGUGUAAUGAAAAAAAAAAAGUGUUUUCCUUUCUUUAUCAGAAGGAAAAUACUUUCCUUUGAUAAAACAACUUUUUUAUGUUGAUGGGAUUAAGAUUUUAUUGAUUAUUUUUUCAUAUUGUUACCAAACAUGAAAAAAUAAGGAAAAUAAAUUUUAGGAAUUCGUUUUCCUUGAAACAAACAAGGACUUAAUUUAACUUAUACAUCGUAAUUUGCAAGUAAUUCAUACGAUGAACUUGUUUUUUUUUUUUUGUCACGGUGUGCAGUUUAUUUUCCUUACAAGUUGCAAGAAACACUGACUAGUCUGUAGAAAGUUACAUUCUUUGAACGUGUUCAUGCCUAGCCUUCGGAUUAGGUGGUGGAUAUGGACACACGUAGUCAUGAACCUGUCUGGCUUUCGAACUUCGAAGAAAUCUCAGUGCCCAUCUCCAAGACCUGACAUGCCUAUCACUAGGGGUGUGCAAAAAAACUGGAAAACCGAAUAAACCGAGAAAACAAAAAAAAAUUAACUGAAAAAACCGAACCGAAAAAAAAAACACUGAUUAAACCGAUUAUAAUAGUUAGAAAAAAUCCCGGUUCAAUUCGGUUUUCAGUUUUGUAAUGCAGGAACCGGUUAACCCGGACCGAACCGAACCAGUUCAAAUAAAAAAAAUGGUACUAUAAAUACCUUCCAAACCCAUCUACAGUUCUACAUUUCAGUCUCUUCUUCUAAGUUUCUAACCUAGCCCCCCCUCACUCCCUCUUGAUUAAAUCUUCAUCUACUCUAUUCUCUCCCACCUUCAGUCUCUUCUUCUAACCUAGCAAACCUAGCUGCCGCCCCCCCCUCACUCCCUCUUGAUCAAAUCUUCAUCUCUAUUCUCUCUCAUCUAAAUAUAUGCUUUGUAGCUUCUUGUUCUAACCCUAGCAAAUCUAGCCGCCGCCCCUCCCUCUUGUUCAAUCUCUCGAUCAGAUCUUAAUCUCUCCCAUAUAAAGAUCUACUUUUUAGUUUCCUCUUCCAACCCUAGCAAACCCAGUCGCCGCCCCCUCCCUCUUAUUCAAUCUCUCAAUCAAAUCUUCAUCUCUCAAUUAUCUGUCUCUAAAUCAAAAUUAGCAGUCGUUCCUUCAAGUUCUUUGUCUCUCCAAGUUGGAUGACAAAUUUGAUGCUUUCUAUUUUCUUUUCUAAAUUGUUUUUUUUUUUAGUUUUUAUCAGUUUAUAUUAACCUAUUUUGUUAAACUUUUCAGGUGAACUAUUCAAGAGAACCAGAUGCACUUUUAAUGUCCAUGUCGUGAGAAAGAUAGUUGAUGCAUUUUAUUUCAAUUUCAAGGACUCCUGCAGAUUGUAUUUCUUUAAUUUUAUUAGAGGCAUUGUUUUCUUGGUUUGUGUUAUUUUAUGUAUAAUUUUAUUUUGGAUUUUGAUUAGAGUUGAUUGGUUUGAGAAAACUACUGGGUGCAAAUUAAAAAUAUUUCGCCUAUUAUUUGAGAUAAAUCUUGGUAAAGGAAAGUAAAACAAUGAAUAUAGGUUUUUUAUAUUUGAUUAUAAAUUUACAAGCCUUUUAAAUGACCCCAUCAAAAGUCAUAAAAAGCCAAAAAAAAUUGAACUGGUUUUUCCGGUUUUUCUCUUUAAUUAACCGAACCAAACCGAAUCGAAAUUGAUCGGUUUGAACCGGUUUCGUUUUUUUAAAAAAAAAAAUAAAAUUGAUUUAGUUAUUUUUUUAAAUAAAAACCGGACUGAACCGGAAAUGCUCACCUCUACCUACCACUAUCACGAUGUUAUUGAAUGAAGAAAAGCAUAAAUAAACUAUGCCUGAUUUGACAAACUUUUUUUUUUUUAAUCCCUGCCAAACCAUCCAUCGACUAUCUGAAUUCAAAAGUAUCAGCUUUUUUAAUAUUGAUGGUUGUAAUUUCACUUGUAAAAUUUUGGAUUUUUUUUUAAAAAUUUAUUACUUCGAGUGUUAUAAAUUUUGAAAUAACUAGAAAUUUACCAUACUGAUAACUGAACUGUGACUCGUGUUCAGCAAAGGAGGGCUUUAUAUUAUUCAUUGCCGACUUUUCUUUUCCUUUUCUCUUUUUAUUGCAGACUUUUCUUCUUGGCUGUCCAGAUAAAUGGAAAAUUAGAAGAGGAGCAGUCAAAGUUAGGCUGCAUGAUUUGACGAAGGUUUUUUUCUGCCCCCUCUUAUCCAUGGCCGCCUCUGUUCAAGCUGAGAUUGCCCUUGGAAAUCCUAACUAAGAUGCACAAAUUGAAAAACUCAAUUCCAUGGCGAGUCUCCAGUUUGCUUAACUGCUUAGCUUGCUUUCAUACAGAUCACAGAGAAUUUACUCCUGGCUCUACGCACUGGUCUUUCCAACAGACAAGGAGAAAUCGAAAAACAAAUAACAAUGAUCGCAAGUUUUAUGGAUAUCACCAAAAUGAUCUAACAUCACUGGAUAUUCUAAGCUUGCAGCCUGAUUAAAAUUUAUUGACUCCACAACACGAAAGGUCUUGCUUAGAUAACCCUGGUGAGGAGAAAAAUCCAUCCAGCGUUCUCUUGGUCCAUUCAUGGAAAACACAGAGAUCUAGACUUCCAGAGAUCAUGGCCUUCAUCGACGAGUCUAGGAGAAACAUCUGCCUUGAACGUUCUAGAUGUUUAUAACUCAAAACCCUUCGAAUAAAAAACUUUUGUUAUAAAGAAGAGAUUCAAACACAAAAUAUCUUGCAGAAACCCUUUGAAUAAAAACUUUUCUUAUGAAGAUGUUCGAGCACAAAAUAUCUUGCAGAAGAGGUAAACAACAAAAGAGUUUCAAUCCUCAUGUCCACUAUAAUUAGUAUAUUUUGUAAAUUGAAAUUUUAGCUUUAGUACCUUUCUCAAAAACGAGACUACUUCUUCCUUUAUCAUGAUCUAGCCAUUAUGAGAUUGACUUUCUCAAAAGGCGUGGCAAAGAAGAUUAGCAUCGAUACCGUCAUGCAUGGCGUAUAUCAAAACGGCAACUUCCAGGAGAUGAUAUGUAUGGUCAACAUUAUUAACAUUAAUAAUGCUUAUUUAACCCAGAAAAUCAUGAAGUAAAUCGCAACCUGUGAGAAAUUGCUGAGAAACUUGUAUAGAAAAAGAAAGAACAUGCAUCGCGUUAAUUAUUGCAUUUCUUAUCUCCAUAGUCAAGUCUUCUUUCGACAGAGAAUUGAAGUGAAUAUGAUUAUGUAAGCAAAUAUAUCAAUAAUGGAGGAAGUAAAGCUUCUUUUCGAGGUAUAUCCCUUUCAUUAACUAAAUUCUUCUGAAUUUGCUGACCCAUCACACAAAAACACAGGCAAAAGAAUUUUGAUGGUCGGAAGUCUGUUUAUGUUGUAUUAAAAUAUUUUUUUUUAAAAAAUCUAUAUUUAACUUUGGAUCAUCAAAAUAAUAUAAAAAUAUAAAAAAUUAAUUUUUUUAAAAGUACCGUUUGAAAUGCAUUCGCGGCUGCCCUCAAUAGCAAAUGUGUACUGCCCACAGCCCAAGCAAGACUCUUUCAUUAAAAAUCAGCACUAUAAAUGACUAUGGCAGGUAAAGAACAAUCACCAUACAAAUCCCUUGGUCAUGGCGGAGGUAGUGAAGCUGCUCGGAGCAUUGUCCAGCCCAUUUGUUUUCCGAGUGAUAUGGGCUCUCAAAAUGAAGGGCAUUCCAUAUGAGUACAUAGAAGAAGAUGUUACCAUCAAAAGUCCUCUGCUUCUGAAGAAGAACCCUGUUCUUAAGAAGAUCCCAGUGCUUCUCCAUGGCGAAAAACCAGUUUGCGAGUCCAUGAUUAUUGUCGAAUACAUCGAUGAGAUAUGGCCCCAAAAUCCCUUGUUGCCCAAUGACCCUUACGAGAGAGCUCCGGCUCGUUUCUGGGUCAAAUUUACCGACGAUAAGGUAAAAAGAGUACAGGCAUCAUUUUACAUUACAUAAAAUAUUACUAUGAAACCGAGUUCUGGGCUUUAAAGAAAAAUUGGUUUCUGCUGAUUUGGUUAGUUCAUGAUCAAUGAUGAAUCAUUAUGUUGACUCGAGCUGUUCUAAUAAAAUUGAUUAAGGGAAAAAAAGUAAAUGGAAAGGAAUAUAAAAGAAAUACAACAGUGUUUAUACACCAUUCCGGAAUUUAAUAAAAUAGCAGCAUCAACCGACAACCAUUAUGGAUUGUUACAGUAGAAAAACAAGCUCAACUACAAGAGAAAAACCAUCCAUGGAAACGAAAAGGUGAGACAUCCAUGGAAUAUUUCGCAUCCAAAAGCAUAAUAUAGGCUACUUGUUCGUCAUUUUCUCCCUGACACUUUUCAUAUGGAGGAGCAUUUUAUCAUAGUCGGGAAUGUUUUCUUUAAUCAGAGGAACUUCAAUGAAAUUCUGGGCCCAAGCAUGCAAUCGAGGCAGUGUGCUUGGUUCAAGAACUUUCACACCCGCUGCUUCUUCAAUGGCUGCAAACCAAUAAGCGAAGAGUCCAUAUGAGAUGUCAACUAGAUUUAUGCUGUCACCGCCAAAAAACUUCUUGUCCCCGAGACCUUUCUCUUCUAAGACUCUCAACACUUCCGCCACUUCUUUCACUGCCUUCUCUAGCUCCUCUCCACUAGCUCGGAAAAGGGCACCAAAGGCAGCACCCUAAAUAAUGAAAGAAUUCAAUUUACAAGUCACAGAACAGAGAUAAAUGAAUCGAUAUUUGAAGGUGUUUAGCCUGAGGAGAAUAAAAAUAAAAGAAGGCAAGUUAUGAGAAAUUUUUAAUUAUUUUUCCACUUUAAGAACAAGAAGAAGAAAAUGUUUUCUGGAAUCGAUUGUCUUUUUCCAGGACUGCUACCAGAUCAAAUUAAUCAUUGUGGGCCUCAUGAACAGUUACAAAAUAUAUACAAGAAGAUGGAUCUCGUUACCUUGGUAACUCCAUAUUGAAUCCAAAACCGAGCCAUGGCUCUCUCGUAAGGAUCUGUCGGUAGCAGUGGAUUCUCCGGCCAUGUUUCCUCGAUGUAUUCAAGGAUAACAAGAGACUCCGCAAUCGGCUUGCCACCAUGGACGAGUACAGGGAUUUUCUUGUAAACUGGGUUAUACUUCAAUAGCAGUUCACUUUUAUUGGUGAGGUCUUCUUCAAUAUACUCAAACUCCACGCCCUUUAGUUUCAGAGCCCAUAUAACUCUGUAACUAAAAGGGCUAGCCCAGAAACCAUGCAGCUUCACAUCUGCCAUCGUUGCAAUGAGAUCAGUAUGCAAGGUCUGCUGCUGUGCCCAGUCUUCUUAUAGCGAC